UACAGAGGGGGCAAGCGUUAUUCGGAAUUAUUGGGCGUAAAGGGCGCGUAGGCGGCUUUGCAAGUGACGGGUGAAAUCCCUCGGCUUAACCGAGGAACUGCCUGUCAGACUGUGAGGCUUGAGACCGGGAGAGGUGAGUGGAAUUCCAGUGUAGCGGUGAAAUGCGUAGAUAUUGGGAGGAACACCAGUGGCGAAGGCGGCUCACUGGACCGGAACUGACGCUGAGGCGCGAAAGCGUGGGGAGCAAACAGGG
rnacentral:rRNA from 1 species